rnacentral:rRNA from 1 species
UACCAGCACCCCGAGUGGUCGGGACGAUUAUUGGGCCUAAAGCGUCCGUAGCCGGUCCUACAAGUCUUCCGUUAAAUCCACCUGCUUAACAGAUGGGCUGCGGAAGAUACUAUAGGGCUAGGAGGCGGGAGAGGCAAGCGGUACUCAGUGGGUAGGGGUAAAAUCCUCUGAUCCAUUGAAGACCACCAGUGGCGAAGGCGGCUUGCCAGAACGCGCUCGACGGUGAGGGAUGAAAGCUGGGGGAGCAAACCGG